UGUGGGUUUUUUUUUAUGCCAAUUAUGAAAAUAGAAUUAGCAAUGCAGGACCCGGAACAACCAAGAGGCACAAGGGAGCCAUCCACUUCAUCGGUCAAAGGCAAGAGGCGGGGAAAGGAAUCAUUUUAGUUGGUCAACGACCUUACUACAGUGCUGGAUCGAUGAGCAUUUUUGAGCUCUAGCCACCAAGCGUACAUUGGUCAUCAACCAAAGAAUGCCUAGAGCUUGCAUGUGGAAGAAACAACCACGCCAUAAAGACAUCUCAUUUGAUAACAUCCAUUUGAUAGGGUGACUUGGCAACCAUAUGAGAAGUCACAUGAAAUUGCAGAGUACUUCAUAUGCUGCUCAUACCUCAUAAGUUUCAACAUUGCAGAGUACUAUAUACCCGAUAGCGUGCUGUGGAAAUUUGGGAAGGUAUAAGGGAUUCUUGUUAUGCCAACCAAGUGGGAUAGGAGAGAGAAGCUUGAUAUACACCCUACAAAUUGGACUGAAGAGUUGAGCAGGCAUAUAAAAGAUUGGAAGCAAUGAGAACGUAAUGUUGUCAAGGAAGCCCUGGAUAAAUUUUGUGGAGCACCUUAUAAGAGUACAUGGCUUGGCACAACAUGUUUAUGCAAAGAUUUAGAAAAGCCCUCAUGCGUCCCCGUCGUAGUCGCAAUCCUAUGUGAAAUCCUCCACAGGACAUGAUGACAAUAGGAGAUUGAGUCAGGUGCUGAGGAGAUAGCGCAUGCUAAGGGUGGAGAAGUGGAAAGUGAAAGUGAUGGGGACGAUAAUAGUGAAAGCGAAGGAGACGAUGAUGAUGGAGAAGAGGAUGAUGAUGAAGAAGAGGAUGUUGAAGGCCACAAUGAUGCUGAGAGCGAGGAUGAAAUUGAAAGAAGAACAAAAAAAAAAAACUGAUCACUUUCAAGCACCAGCGUUACAAGAGGAAUCGAGGUGGAAUUUACGGUUGCGAAGAGAUGGGAAUUGAUCAAAAAAAGGUUUGAGGUGGAGAA